ensembl:lncRNA
UUUGGAGUAGUGGAGAAGGCGGUGACUGGGUGAAUCCAGCCUUCUCGACCCCGCCCACCGAAAGAACAAGCAAGAACGAACUUUGGCUAGCUAUUUCCGGAAUCGUCAUAUCCGGCUUCAAUAGCCACUUGCUGAAUUGAGCUCCACCCUUCUGCGUUCGGCCAAUUGCCAAUCAUUUCCGUUCCCUGUCCUUCCGGAUCAAUCGACAAUCACAAAAGAAAAUUCUCAGAGAGGGACUAAUCUACUUGAAACAGGAAGGAGGAAGAGGGAAAAGGAAGAGAUACUAGCAAAAUCACCUGACUAAUGUUACAUAAAGAGAAGAGAAUAUGGAGCUCUUUGUGAAUGACCUCAAUUUUUUUCUAAUGUAAUGGACCAACACACUUACCAAAUGAAUCUGAAGAACAAUCAGGAGAUGUGAGUGGCUAAAAUAAAAGGAUGCCUUUCUCUUCACCAUAGCAACAGGGAACUAGAAUGUUUUUUUCUGUU